rnacentral:rRNA from 1 species
UACGGGGGGAGCAAGCGUUGUUCGGAUUUACUGGGCGUAAAGGGCGCGUAGGCGGCACCGCAAGUCGACUGUGAAAUCUCCGGGCUUAACUCGGAAAGGUCAGCCGAUACUGCGGGGCUAGAGUGCAGAAGGGGCAACUGGAAUUCUCGGUGUAGCGGUGAAAUGCGUAGAUAUCGAGAGGAACACCUGCGGCGAAGGCGGGUUGCUGGGCUGACACUGACGCUGAUGCGCGAAAGCGUGGGGAGCAAACAGG